AAUGGUGGAUGCCUUGGGAUAUGAAGGCGAUGAAGGACGUGGCGUGCCUGCGAAAAGCCUCGGGGAGGUGGUUAGCAACCUGCGAUCCGGGGAUGUCCGAAUGGGGAAACCCCGUUCGCCGAAAGGCGAAUGAUCCAAUUCGCAAGAAUUGGGAGCGAACCCGCUGAAGUGAAACAUCUCAGUAAGCGGAGGAAAAGAGAACAAAUGUUUAUUCCCUUAGUAGCGGCGAGCGAAAAGGGAAGAGCCCAAACCACUUUUUCUCGCAAGAGAAAAAGUGGGGUUGCAAGGAAAUAGCGUCGGGAGCCCUGCUCUGAACCAAGAAGUUCUGGUGUUCAGAGUAGCGCUUGACCGAGGGAGUCCAAAAAACAAGGGUUGGUUAAAAGAAGCUUCCUGGAACGGAGCGCCAAAGAGGGUAAAAGCCCCGUAUUUGAAAAUUCCUUUGUGCUCCUUGCUGUUUUACUUAAGUACCUUGGGAAACGAAAGUCCCGAGGGAACCAUCCCGGACUGCCGGGAAAGGCUAAAUACUUCAUAUCACCGAUAGUGAACCAGUACCGUGAGGGAAAGGUGAAAAGCAGCCCGUUGAGGGCGGUGAAAUAGAACCUGAAACCAUUUUGCUUACAAAGAGUCGGAGUCCGCCAGCUGGCGGAUGACGGCGUGCUUUUUGCAGAACGACCCAGCGAGUUUACGUAUGGUGCAGUCUAAGCGGUUUUGCCGCGAAGGCAUAGGGCAACCAAGUGUUAAUAGCGCGACCCGCCGCAAGGCGGAUGCAUCAUUCGUAAGACCCGAAGCCAGGCGAGCUUACCAUGACCAGGGUGAACCCCGACGAAAGUCGGGGGGAGGCCCGAACCCGUGAGCUGUUCAACACUCUGGGAUGAGUUGUGGUAAGAAGUGAAAAGCUAACCGAGCCUGGUAAUAGCUGGUUCUCCCCG
rnacentral:rRNA from 1 species